rnacentral:tRNA from 1 species
GGGGUUGUGGCUCAGAGGUAGAGCGCUCGCCUAGCAUGUGUGAGGCAUUGGGUUCGAUCCUCAGCACCACA